CAACGCGCAAAACCUUACCAACCCUUGACAUCCUGUGCUAUAUCCAGAGAUGGAUAGUUCCCUUCGGGGACGCAGUGACAGGUGUUGCAUGGCUGUCG
rnacentral:rRNA from 1 species